CAGCCAGCUCCACUCCCGGGCGCGGCGCGGAGCUGGAGGCCGCCGCGGCGCAGCCGGGCACCUUCCGGAGGCGGCGGGUCCCCGCUCGGGGUCUGGGGUCCCCCCUCCCCGCACCUUGGACGGGGAAGCCCGGCUCUGUAAAAUGACCAAAAAUGGAGGAUAAUUUAAACAUCCCCCAAAUUCAUGAAGAAAAGGUUUAAACUGAACUUACCGGACAUUCUGACCUGAAAGAAGAAGCAACUUUUAUAACAGCUGAUGUUGCAGCAGAAGAAUCAAUCACCUGGGCUCCUAGAUGCUGGGGGGAAAGGGAACAAAAAACAAUAAUUUUAAAAUGUAAAAAAAGAAUACCCAAGACCAUUGUGAAAAUUCCAGGUGGAGACCAACAAUAUUAAUGUUUUAUACCUACAGAUAUAAGUUUGAGUUUUUCUCCCCUAAUGCCAAGUAUUUAAAACCUCUAGAAACCAA